GUGGGGAAUAUUGGACAAUGGGCGAAAGCCUGAUCCAACCAUGCCGCGUGUGUGAAGAAGGUCUUCGGAUUGUAAAGCACUUUAAGUUGGGAGGAAGGGCAGUAAGUUAAUACCUUGCUGUUUUGACGUUACCGACAGAAUAAGCACCGGCUAACUUCGUGCCAGCAGCCGCGGUAAUACGAAGGGUGCAAGCGUUAAUCGGAAUUACUGGGCGUAAAGCGCGCGUAGGUGGUUUUGUAAGUUGGAGGUGAAAUCCCUGGGCUCAACCUGGGAACUGCCUCCAAAACUGCAUGACUAGAGUACGGUAGAGGGUUGUGGAAUUUCCUGUGUAGCGGUGAAAUGCGUAGAUAUAGGAAGGAACACCAGUGGCGAAGGCGACUACCUGGACUGAUACUGACACUGAGGUGCGAAAGCGUGGGGAGCAAACAGGAUUAGAUACCCGAGUAGUCC
rnacentral:rRNA from 1 species